GACGAACGCUGGCGGCGUGCUUAACACAUGCAAGUCGAACGGAAAGGCCCUGCUUUUGUGGGGUGCUCGAGUGGCGAACGGGUGAGUAACACGUGAGUAACCUGCCCUUGACUUUGGGAUAACUUCAGGAAACUGGGGCUAAUACCGGAUAGGAGCUCCUGCUGCAUGGUGGGGGUUGGAAAGUUUCGGCGGUUGGGGAUGGACUCGCGGCUUAUCAGCUUGUUGGUGGGGUAGUGACUUACCAAGGCUUUGACGGGUAGCCGGCCUGAGAAGGUGACCGGCCACAUUGGGACUGAGAUACGGCCCAGACUCCUACGGGAGGCAGCAGUGGGGAAUAUUGCACAAUGGGCGGAAGCCUGAUGCAGCAACGCCGCGUGCGGGAUGACGGCCUUCGGGUUGUAAACCGCUUUCGCCUGUGACGAAGCGUGAGUGACGGUAAUGGGUAAAGAAGCACCGGCUAACUACGUG
rnacentral:rRNA from 1 species